rnacentral:rRNA from 1 species
UACGAAGGGGGCUAGCGUUGCUCGGAAUUACUGGGCGUAAAGCGCACGUAGGCGGCUUUCUAAGUCGGGGGUGAAAUCCUGGAGCUCAACUCCAGAACUGCCUUCGAUACUGGAGAGCUCGAGUCCGGGAGAGGUGAGUGGAACUGCGAGUGUAGAGGUGAAAUUCGUAGAUAUUCGCAAGAGCACCAGUGGCGAAGGCGGCUCACUGGCCCGGUACUGACGCUGAGGUGCGAAAGCGUGGGGAGCAAACAGG